GCCAGCCAGAGGCUUCGGCUUAUCACCGCUCCGAAGAACACAACAGAUCGUCACGCUGCCGCUAUCGCCCACGACGCCCGGAACGUCACGACAACACGAGGCUGCCAACUUAGAAGAAUCUGCACUAGGGGCAGAAGGGAAUCGCUGCUCCGUCACGAGAGACAGACACCAACCGGACUCUGCCUGUGGCGGCCGUGCCGUGAACUCCGGAGUCUACCACCUCCAUCAGCAGCCGAGGUGGGACUUAGCCGAAUUUCAACAAGCAAGAUCGUCAGCCAUUUGCAGGUAACCUGUUUCAACUAUUGAAGCAAACGGUGACGAAUCAGUUCCAAGUUUGCAUGUUUGUUGUGUGCCAUAUUAUAACCAAUAAAAGCGUCUUGUACACAAAA